rnacentral:rRNA from 1 species
GACGAACGCUGGCGGCGUGCUUAACACAUGCAAGUCGAACGGAAAGGCCCUGCUUUUGUGGGUGUCUCGGUGGCGAACGGGGGGGGAACAACGGGUGUAUCCGCCCCUUAACUUGGGGUUAUCUCCGGGAAACAGGGGCUAUAACCGCUUAGAAUCUCUUGCGCCGUGUGGGGGAUUGGAAAGUUUCGGCGGUGGGGGAUGGACUCGCGGCUUAUCCGCUUGUUGGGGGGGUAGUGGCUUACCAAGCCUUUGACGGGUAGCCGGCCUGGGAGGGUGACCGGCCACAUUGGGACUGAGAUACGGCCCAGACUCCUACGGGAGGCAGCAGUGGGGAAUAUUGCACAAUGGGCGGAAGCCUGAUGCAGCAACGCCGCGUGCGGGAUGACGGCCUUCGGGUUGUAAACCGCUUUCGCCUGUGACGAAGCGUGAGUGACGGUAAUGGGUAAAGAAGCACCGGCUAACUACGUG